UACGGAGGGUGCUAGCGUUGUUCGGAAUUACUGGGCGUAAAGCGCACGUAGGCGGCUAUUCAAGUCGGGGGUGAAAGCCCGGGGCUCAACCCCGGAACAGCCCUCGAAACUAGAUAGCUAGAAUCUUGGAGAGGCGAGUGGAAUUCCGAGUGUAGAGGUGAAAUUCGUAGAUAUUCGGAAGAACACCAGUGGCGAAGGCGACUCGCUGGACAAGUAUUGACGCUGAGGUGCGAAAGCGUGGGGAGCAAACAGG
rnacentral:rRNA from 1 species